rnacentral:miRNA from 1 species
AGAUGUUUUAGGACUACAAUUCCCAGCAUCCCUGACCACUGGUCCUGUUAGCUAGGGAUGGUGGGAGUUGUAGUCCCAAAGCAUCU